rnacentral:rRNA from 1 species
UGGGAAUCUGCCUUUUGGUUCGGAAUAACACGGGGAAACUUGUGCUAAUACCGAAUAAGCCCUUACGGGGAAAGUUUUAAUGCCAAAAGAUGAGCCCGCACUUGAUUAGCUAGUUGGUAAGGUAAAAGCUUACCAAGGCAACGAUCAAUAGCUGUUCUUAGAGGAAGACCAGCCACAUUGGGACUGAGACACGGCCCAGACUCCUACGGGAGGCAGCAGUGGGGAAUCUUGCACAAUGGGGGAAACCCUGAUGCAGCGAUGCCGCGUGAGUGAAGAAGGCCCUUGGGUUGUAAAACUCUUUCGUCGGGGAAGAAAAUGACUGUACCCGAAUAAGAAGGUCCGGCUAACUUCGUGCCAGCAGCCGCGGUAAUACGAAGGGACCUAGCGUAGUUCGGAAUUACUGGGCUUAAAGAGCUCGUAGGUGGUUAAAAAAGUUGAUGGUGAAAUCCCAAGGCUCAACCUUGGAACUGCCAUCAAAACUUUUUAGCUAGAGUGUGAUAGAGGUAAGUGGAAUUUCUAGUGUAGAGGUGAAAUUCGUAGAUAUUAGAAAGAACACCAAAUGCGAAGGCAACUUACUGGGUCACUACUGACACUGAGGAGCGAAAGCAUGGGUAGCGAAGAGGAUUAGAUACCCUCGUAGUCCAUGCCGUAAACGAUGUGUGCUAGACGUUGGA